rnacentral:tRNA from 1 species
CAGAGGAUAGUUUAUAAAAACAGGAGCUUUGGGAGCCCCAGAUUUAGCUUCGCUAAUCCUUUGA